CAUUCAGCUUAGCUCUUGAUGAAUCUAAGUCUUAGACAAAUAAACAUCAUUAAAAAUAUCUCCAUUUUUUUUCCUUUUUUUUAUUUUUGGCAGUCUAAUCCUAUGUUACUGAAAUGCAAAUUUACUUUUUUUCUUAGAUGUUCUGGUAGUUCAUUACCAUGUUAAAUACACUCAAUAUAGUUAAAACAAUCAUCAGUCAAGAUUUUGAAACAUUUGGCAUAUAUGUAUAUUAUGAUUACUGAAACUAAUACAAAUUAACAGUUUAAAAAACUACAUGCAUGAAUAAAUAUUAUUGUGUACAUGUAUUUCUUAACAUUUUUAUAAUUUUUUUGUAACAAAAUGAGUAUGUAACAAUAAAAAUGUGUGCGUAAAUUUUGUUCAUGCCUUGUGGCUCUCAAACAUCUGAAAUUAAUUGCAUGUGGCUCUUACAUUAAGUUUGGCCACCCCUGUCAUAGAAGCAAAUAUUCCAUCCAUUUUGUCCACUUCUGGGCCCUGUACUUCAGGCCAGUGAUAUAAGUAAUUGCCUGUGAUCACUGAAUGUGCCUUUCUGCACAAGCAGACACUUGUAGGUAAUAAUUUCUCACCUAUUGCUAUCCUGGUGGUGGAGUGGAGGGUGGGCUCCUAAUGGCUUGGCAAUGCAAAACUGACAUUUCACUUCCUUCUUCUCCUUCGUUGUCCAUCGGAAUCCGACGAUGAUGUCCACUCCUUUAACAGUGAGAUCUUUGAUGACUAUACAGUCCUAUCCUGGACCCACAAGUUCUAUUGCAGGUGGGACAUGUAUAUGUGGUAGUGAUGGCAGCCAAGGCUGCAUCUCUCCUGCUGCCUUCUGGUUGUUCUUUCCAUCCCCAGAAUACGAACCCCAUCCCUACACGGCUGUUGCCAAGUGUUACGGUCAGCUGCAACAUCCCCUAGGUCCUCAGGUGUGAUCUUGCAUUUCCUUAAAGCAUUCUUCAUCUGAUCCUUAUAGCGCAUCUUUGGCCCUCCAGCUGAGCGUCGACCAUGAUGUAGCUGACUGUAUAACACUCUGUGGGAUACACAACCUAACUCAUACUGCUCAGCUUUCUGUUGUAGAGGUUGUCAUAGCUUUUCUACAAUCAAUUCAGAUUGAGAAUCAUUUAUCACGUGUACAUUGAAGCAUAUAGGGAAAUGGGUUGUUUGCAGGGCAGCCCGCAAGAGUCAUCACACCUUCUGGCACCAACAUGGCAUGUCCACAAUGUUCAGUGGCCCAACACCAUCUACACAAGCUCCUUCCAUAGAAUAUAGAACAGUACAACGCAAUACAGGUCCUUCAGCCCACAAGGUUCUGUUGACCUUUUAACCUACUCUAAGAUCAUACAAACCCUACCCUCCUAAAUAGCCCUCCGUUUUUUCUAUCAUUUAUGUGCCAAAGAGUUUCUUAAAUACCCCAAUAUACCUGAGUCUACCACCAUAACUGGCAGGGUAUUCCACUCACUCACCACUCUGAUAUCACCCCCCCCAUACUUUCUUUCAAUCACCUUAAAAUUAUACCCCUUGUAAGAACUAUUUCUGCCCUGUGAGUAAGUCUCAACCUAUCUUCAUAAGAUAUGCCCUCUAGUCCAGACAGCAUCCUGGUAAAUCUCCUCUACGCUGUCUCUCUGUUCCUCUUUUCUAUCUCUCUCACCCACACAACCAUGCUACUCAGAGACACUGAGACAGGCCUCCAACCCCAGGACAGGCUGCCUCUGGGCCACAGACUCCAGUGGGAGAAUUGUCCUACUGAGGAGAAGGUCAAAGUAAGGAGAGGGUAAUAAAAGUUAUUAACUUUUCACUGGAGCUCAUACAUAAUCGGCACUCAAAUACCAUGGCAGCUAUAGCAACAGUCAUGUGGUCUGUGUAGCAGGGAUAUAACUUGUAAUGGGAAAGGUUUAAUGAUAAUCAUGAUUCUGCUUGAGCACCUUCACGAGGCAUACGUAUUACCAGUAUUCUCUUUAACUGAGGCAUCACGGGGUGCAGUCAUGUCAGCAGCAGCCAAACCAAGAGUGACUUAUCUGUGCAUGCUUCUAAUGAGAAUGCAUCUGAACAGAGCCAGUAUCCUGAAAAUACAUUUACACAUAUGCUGCCUAGCCUGCUGAGUUCCUCCAGCGUUUUGUCCCUUGCUUUUGCAUUUCAGCCACUUACCGUUACAAGGGUCGCGGGAGCGCGCCCGCGUGACUCAGCACAGUGACGUCAUUCACCACCAAAUGGGGAGACAAAAAGAAAUUCUUCCGCCUCUGCAGUGAGUCCCUCUCCCCUCUCGGAAAUCACGUUUCGCUCUAUCUCUG